AUACUUACCUGGCAGGGGAGAUACUUAUGAUCACGAAGGUGGUUUUCCCAGGGUGAGGCUUAUCCAUUGCACUCCGGAUGUGCUGACCCCUGCGAUUCCCCCAAAUGUGGGAAACUUGACUGCAUAAUUUGUGGUAGUGGGGGACUGCGUUCGUACUUUCCCCUG
ensembl:snRNA U1 U1 spliceosomal RNA